rnacentral:rRNA from 1 species
AUGUGAACCAUACCAAACUGUUGCCUCGGCGGGGUCACGCCCCGGGUGCGUCGCAGCCCCGGAACCAGGCGCCCGCCGGAGGGACCAACCAAACUCUUUACUGUAGUCCCCUCGCGGACGUUAUUUCUUACAGCUCUGAGCAAAAAAUUCAAAAUGAAUCAAAACUUUCAACAACGGAUCUCUUGGUUCUGGCAUCGAUGAAGAACGCAGCGAAAUGCGAUAAGUAAUGUGAAUUGCAGAAUUCAGUGAAUCAUCGAAUCUUUGAACGCACAUUGCGCCCGCCAGUAUUCUGGCGGGCAUGCCUGUCCGAGCGUCAUUUCAACCCUCGAACCCCUCCGGGGGGUCGGCGUUGGGGAUCGGGAACCCCUCAGACGGGAUCCCGGCCCCGAAAUACAGUGGCGGUCUCGCCGCAGCCUCUCCUGCGCAGUAGUUUGCACAACUCGCACCGGGAGCGCGGCGCGUCCACGUCCGUAAAACACCCAACUUUCUGAAAUGUUGACCUCGGAUCAGGUAGGAAUACCCGCUGAACUUAAG